rnacentral:rRNA from 1 species
GAUGAACGCUGGCGGCGUGCUUAACACAUGCAAGUCGAACGGAAAGGCCCAAGCUUGCUUGGGUACUCGAGUGGCGAACGGGUGAGUAACACGUGGGUGAUCUGCCCUGCACUUCGGGAUAAGCCUGGGAAACUGGGUCUAAUACCGGAUAGGACCACAUUUUGGAUGGUGUGGUGGAAAGUUUUUCGGUGUGGGAUGAGCUCGCGGCCUAUCAGCUUGUUGGUGGGGUAAUGGCCUACGAAGGCGUCGACGGGUAGCCGGCCUGAGAGGGUGUACGGCCACAUUGGUACUGAGAGACGGCCCAGACGCCUACGGUAGGCAGCAGUGGGGAAUAUUGCACAAUGGGCGCAAGCCUGAUGCAGCGACGCCGCGUGGGGGAUGACGGCCUUCGGGUUGUAAACUCCUUUCGCUAGGGACGAAGCGCAAGUGACGGUACCUGGAGAAGAAGCACCGGCUAACUACGUG